rnacentral:lncRNA from 1 species
UUCUAGUGGCUUUAAUGAAGCCACCAUGACCAAUUGUUGUGUGGACAUGUUGCUUGCUUAAUGCUUUUUUAUUAUUAUUAUUCCUGUCACAUGUAAUAUUCAGCUGGGCUGUGGGCCUCAGCGCCCUGCUAUCCGCACCAUGCAUCCAGGCCCACUCACGUUUUUCAUUUCAUUUUCUUUUUUCAUUUUGUAAUUUAUUUUGUAUGCUGUUUUGAUUUAAUUAAUAAAAAUAUUCCAAUUAUUCAUAAAAAUAUCAAAAAAUACUUUUCACUUUU